rnacentral:lncRNA from 1 species
UGGCUCCUCUGGAGGACCAAAGCCGAUGAGAUGGAGGAGAGGGAAGAGUCUUCACCCUGCCUUGAGUCCCCGAAAUAUGGAUGAGACCAUGACACAGUUGCCUAACUCAACCCUACCAGGCCUCUCUUCCAUGUUGAGGCAGCGGGCCCAUUGUAUGAAGCACAUGCCAACGGACAUGAACCAAGGGUGGAAGAGGAGGUUGGGAGAAACAAAGUGAUUUGGCCUGGCUCGUCGGUGGUACAGCCUUUUACUGAAGAACUCCAAGAGGUUUUCCCCCUGGGGGUGGUCUGCAGCACUCCCAGAAUGGCUGCCCUGGCCAGGGCAGGCUGUGCCCCCGUGGGAUGCCCAGGAUGCUCCAG